GGCUAUGGUUCAGUAGCACAGCCUCUGCUUUGAGUGCAGAAGGCCCCGGGUUCAAUUCCUGGAAUCUCCA
rnacentral:tRNA from 1 species